UACGAGGGGGGCUAGCGUUGCUCGGAAUCACUGGGCGUAAAGCGCACGUAGGCGGUCUCUUAAGUCGGUGGUGAAAUCCUGGAGCUCAACUCCAGAACUGCCUUCGAUACUGAGAGUCUCGAGUCCGAGAGAGGUGAGUGGAACUGCGAGUGUAGAGGUGAAAUUCGUAGAUAUUCGCAAGAACACCAGUGGCGAAGGCGGCUCACUGGCCCGGUACUGACGCUGAGGUGCGAAAGCGUGGGGAGCAAACAGG
rnacentral:rRNA from 1 species